GCCGAAGUGGCGGAAUUGGUAUACGCGCUGGUCUCAAAAACCAGUGGGGGCAACCCCAUGCCGGUUCGAUCCCGGCCUUCGGCA
rnacentral:tRNA from 1 species